rnacentral:rRNA from 1 species
AAGGGGCCGUGCAGCGGGUGAACCGCCCGACCGAAAACCACACAAACCCGUGCACUUUCCGACGGUGGAGGGAGACUGGGCGAAAGCUCGGGAUCCCGAACCCGUCUCCACAAACCCCCUUUGUUUUAAAGAAUGAUAUAGCGACCGCUGCGUCGCCUAACUUAAUGUAACAACUUUCAACAACGGAUCUCUUGGCUCUCGCAUCGAUGAAGAACGCAGCGAAAUGCGAUAAGUAAUGUGAAUUGCAGAAUUCAGUGAAUCAUCGAAUCUUUGAACGCAACUUGCGCUCCUUGGUAUUCCGAGGAGCAUGCCUGUUUGAGUGUCUUGAAGUCAUCAACCCCGACCGUUUUGCGACGGUUGCGGUUGGAGUUGGGGGACUUGCCGGCCGUUGCGGUCGGCUCCCCUCAAAUGCGUCGGUUGGGCCUGUGGGUCAAACUCGCUUGGGCGUUGUACCAUCCUCGCUCCUCGUGUGGGACCUGCUGAACUUGUGCCCCUCCUCGACCGUGCCCGGGUUUCGGGCGGUCAAUUCACAUUUGAAAUCUGACCUCAAAUCAGGUAGGACUACCCGCUGAACUUAAGCAUAUCAAUAAGCGGAGGAAAAGAAACUAACAAGGAUUCCCCUAGUAACUGCGAGUGAAGCGGGAAAAGCUCAAAUUUCAAAUCUGGCGCUCCCGGCGUCCGAGUUGUAUUCUGGAGAAGCGUCUUCCGCGC